GUAAGAACAACUGUUAUUGCCAAGAGGGAAAGAGUAAACGACAUGUUAAAAGUACGUCAGCAAGUUUCGAGACGGGUAAUUCUAAUUUUGGCCACUUUGUCCGAAUUUAUAUUAUACAUCUUACCAAUCAGUGCAAUAUCUACAACAUAAUGCAACUCGUAUGUCAAUUUAUAUUUGACAUGUGCCGGUUUAUUUUCAUAAACACGUGACUUUAAUUUGUAUAGAUCAUUGAUUUCUCAACAAAUCAACGAUGAUUAAUGUUGAAAAUAAAAAUAAUUUUUUUCGACGUUAAAAACAAUUUUAAAAUAAGAUAACAUUUAAUUAAUAAUUAUGAGUGCAAUUAAAAAUUAGUCAACACAUUUAAACCUACCGAGCGUUUUUUCAUGUCAUGGAUAAAAAUCUUAGUGGCUAAGAAUAAAAAACCUUGCAUUGUGUGUGAAGAUCAACUGUGCAUACUUUUACGUCUUCUGAUAUAUUUUAUUGUUUUUCAUUAAGCAAUGAUGCCAGAAUUAUACCAACGGAAAUAAUAAUUUAUUACAAUAGUUUUUACUGUUGUUUUAUGUACUUAGUAACUUAUUUAAUUGAUUAAUGUUAUUAUUUUAUAUAAUAGGUUAAAUGAAUAGUAAAUAUUUAUAAAACUGAGUUGACAAGUGAAAAAAGAAUGGCAAGGUCGUUUUUAGAAUCGACUUUGAGUUUUUGAAGACGAUCAAGAAUCGAUUCUCAACAUUCGACUUCUAGAUAAAUUAGUCCAAGAGCUGGUGACUCUUUAAUGAAGUUUUUGAUGCACUUCGAAAUUUUGUACGGUACUUUCUUAAAUUUGAAACAGUGAAAAUAGUGACUAUUCACUGUUUACUAGUGAAAAAUAUGUCACUAAUUCAAACAGUGGUAUACUUUUAACUAGCAAUAAGUGACUAUUCACUGCCAAAUAGUGAUUGUCACGUGAUUUUCACUAAUUCGUUUUUAGAGAGUAAUACUUUCAGAAAAAUGUAUAUCAGAAAAACUGUUUGAUUUACGAUCAGCGUAAAAUUAAAUGAAAUUUAAGUAAAUUUUGAAAUUUUUUUAAAUCAAUAAUUGGGUCGACGACCUCAGUGAUUAUGCAUGGAAUGCUCCAUAUGCAACUAUAAUUUCGAUUUUACAGCAUAAUAAUUUUUACUCAAAAAUCGGUUAAAAUCGACUUUCUGUGUCGAUUAAUCGAUUUCAAGAAUCGAAAUGAACAGAGUCAAAGAGAAAUAACUUUAGAAUUGUUAGAUUUCCAAGGUUAAAUAAGACAAUGUUUUUAUCAGAUUUUAUUUUGUACCAAACAUAGACUCACUGAAACUCGGUCUCCCGGAGACAGAAAGUAUGUAAAUAAGUAUUACUUAACUUCACUAUACGUAAGUUACGUAUGUUAAAAACAUAUGAAAGAAUGAACGAUUUUGAAUAACUCGUCAUUUAAUUACUGAGCUUAUCAAAAAUAAAUACAAAUCAUUUAAUUAAUUAUUUUUAGUCGUAAUCGCUGAUUUUCGUGUAGUUUUAUUUAUUUUUACUAUUAAAAAAAAUAUUUUAAAAUUUUUCUGACCUGAACCGGAAGUUUCCAGUUUUAUUAUAUUAUUUCGUAAAUUAUUUUAUGAGCUCUACUUUAAAAAUUCAAAUAACAAGAAUAAUUAUUAUUAUUACUAAUAUUAUUAUUAUGAAAUAUUUGUCAAAUAAGGCUUGUUUUUAUUUUUAGUCGUUCAUUUGAGCCUUGUAUUUAUCCACAAUUUGUGUUACCAUAAAAUUUAUUUGAAAUCUUAUUAAAUUUAUAGAAAUAAAGUUAUGAAUACUUAUUUCCCGAUUUUUAAGAAUUUAUCAAGUAUUCUUUCUUAUACCAACAACAAUAUUUGAUUAAUAAUGAGUAAUUGAUUAUUUUCAUAUAUUGUGACUUAUUUAAUCGUUAAAUAAUAUGAACAGUCAUUAGUGUUUUUGUGAAAAAAAAGUUGUAAACAAAAAUAACUUUUUAUCGUGAUAAAACCAUUUUUAAUGGUUACAAUGCUAAUCAAUUCUGCUAAAAAUAAUACAAUGAUUAAUUUUCAAACUGUCGUAUAGAUAAGUCUGUUGAUCGAUAAUUUAUCAAUUAUUUUAUAAGCUUGUUAUUUGUUGACGUCUAAAAGCAAUAAAGUUAUAAAUUAUAAUGGAGGUAAUAAUUUAUAGCUAAUUAUUGGAAUGGAACUAAAAAAAAUGAACAUCUGUGACCUCACACCAUUGACUUUCUUUUUCAUAAUUAGCUAUUAAUCUAUUCUAAAAUAACCCCAAAUAAACUGUAAACAUAUAGUUGGAUUAGCGAGAGUUUGCGCUUCGGUUUUUUACCCCCACCGUCAAGACGCAAUAUCUUAGGUAUUAAAUUUAGAUGGUGGGGGUCAAAACCGAAAAUAUCCGAAACGCAAACUUUCGCUAAUCCAACUAUAAUAGUUAUUUUCGAUACGUAUGCGGAACGGUAGGGAUUCUGACGGCUUGAAGUGAAGUCACGAGUUUGAGGCUAUGGUCGCUUUCUUAUCAAGACCGGAUAUAGUACGAGGUCUUGAUGAGAACGUAUCCAUAACCUCAAACGCGUGCCUGCACUUCAAGUCUGUCAGGGUUCCUACCUUUGAGCAUAAAGUAUCGAACAAAAUUUUUUGUCAUAUCAACGGCGGAAGUUGAAUUUGAGAGAGAACCAGUAAAAAAUGUUUUAAGUCGUGUAGGAAUGUAGAGAUAAAUAGAGAGAGAGAAGUUACUUUUCGAUACAAACUCGAGGAAAGUUAACCAAACUAUAGAUUGCCAGAAAUCGUAUAGUUCGCGCCCUCUGCAUGUUGCUUGAAAAUUCAACUUUCGCGUUUGAUCUGACAAAAAAAUAAUUUUUUGUAAUACCAACCGCGGAAGUUAGAUUUUCGAGCUAUACUUUGCCGGGGUAAAGUAUGUGAUUCCCGACCAACUAUAGUUUAGUCACUUUUUCUCGCACACGUUUAGAUAACUAACUCCUCGCUCUCUAUGUAUCUCUACAUUCGCACACGUCCAUUUAAAAAUGCUACAGUUCAUAAGAAUUUCUUUUACUUUCACAAUCGAUCGCUAGCCCUGUUUAGAAAACCUCAUAGAAUCCAAUAGAUUCUCAUAAGUUCCCAUAGAAAUUUUAUAAGAAUGAAUGAGUUCUAUGAAAAGUGUUAUAGCUAAGGGCCUUAUACUUACAGCUAUAGUCAUCCCAACCAAAGCUUGGGAUUUUUUUCACACUACGGUUUCUUCCCCCACCCUUUAAAUGCUAGUUUCAGUGGUUUGCACAUGCGCACAUUCGAAGGCGCAUGCGCUUAUUCUAAUAUCAUGGUGGUAGGGGAAAGAACUGGUGGUGAAAAAAUCCCAAGCUUUUAUCGGGACGACUAUAGAAGGUUCUAUUUGUAAUUUUACUCAGGAAAAUAAGACACUUAAUUCAUGCAAUCAAUUUUUAUUAUUUUUACACAUCCAAUAAUUCAUGCAAAUGAGUAUAAAGUUUUAUGAAAAAUUUGUUAAAAAUGUAUACUUGAUUGACUUUAAAUAAAAACAUUUAAAAUAAAUAAAAAUAGUAAAUUCUUUAUUGUCAAAUAGUUUUUUAUGAUUUGAAAUCAUUUAAAAAUAUGAUAACGCCUUAAUUAUAAAUAAAAUCACAAAUCUGUCAACAAUCUUCAACCUAUCAAAUAUUUUCUU